GGGUUGUGAGGUUAAGCGACUAAGCGUACACGGUGGAUGCCCUGGCAGUCAGAGGCGAUGAAGGGCGUGCUAAUCUGCGAUAAGCGCCGGUAAGGUGAUAUGAACCGUUAUAACCGGCGAUACCCGAAUGGGGAAACCCAGUGUGACUCGUCACACUAUCAUUAACUGAAUCCAUAGGUUAAUGAGGCGAACCGGGGGAACUGAAACAUCUAAGUACCCCGAGGAAAAGAAAUCAACCGAGAUUCCCCCAGUAGCGGCGAGCGAACGGGGAGGAGCCCAGAGCCUGAAUCAGCAUGUGUGUUAGUGGAAGCGUCUGGAAAGGCGCGCGAUACAGGGUGACAGCCCCGUACACAAAAGCGCAUGUGCUGUGAGCUCGAUGAGUAGGGCGGGACACGUGGUAUCCUGUCUGAAUAUGGGGGGACCAUCCUCCAAGGCUAAAUACUCCUGACUGACCGAUAGUGAACCAGUACCGUGAGGGAAAGGCGAAAAGAACCCCGGCGAGGGGAGUGAAAAAGAACCUGAAACCGUGUACGUACAAGCAGUGGGAGCACCCUUUGGGGUGUGACUGCGUACCUUUUGUAUAAUGGGUCAGCGACUUAUAUUCUGUAGCAAGGUUAACCGUAUAGGGGAGCCGGAGGGAAACCGAGUCUUAAUUGGGCGUUAAGUUGCAGGGUAUAGACCCGAAACCCGGUGAUCUAGCCAUGGGCAGGUUGAAGGUUGGGUAACACUAACUGGAGGACCGAACCGACUAAUGUUGAAAAAUUAGCGGAUGACCUGUGGCUGGGGGUGAAAGGCCAAUCAAACCGGGAGAUAGCUGGUUCUCCCCGAAAGCUAUUUAGGUAGCGCCUCGUGAAUUCAUCUCCGGGGGUAGAGCACUGUUUCGGCUAGGGGGCCAUCCCGGCUUACCAACCCGAUGCAAACUGCGAAUACCGGAGAAUGUUAUCACGGGAGACACACGGCGGGUGCUAACGUCCGUCGUGAAGAGGGAAACAACCCAGACCGCCAGCUAAGGUCCCAAAGUCAUGGUUAAGUGGGAAACGAUGUGGGAAGGCCCAGACAGCCAGGAUGUUGGCUUAGAAGCAGCCAUCAUUUAAAGAAAGCGUAAUAGCUCACUGGUCGAGUCGGCCUGCGCGGAAGAUGUAACGGGGCUAAACCAUGCACCGAAGCUGCGGCAGCGA
rnacentral:rRNA from 2 species